AGAUAAAAAGCCAGUUCAUGCUUUUACAGUAUGAAAAUUGGUGAUUUAUAAUAACUUAGCAAAUCGCAAAGUGAAAACAGGCGAUAAAUCAUUCAAGUUUCUGACCUAUCAGCUUUCGACGGUAUGGUAUUGGCUUACCGUGGCAGUGACGGUUAACGGGGGAUUAGGGUUCGAUUCCGGAGAGGGAGCCUGAGAAACGGCUACCACAUCUAAGGAAGGCAGCAGGCGCGCAAAUUACCCAAUUCUAACAGUUUGAGAGAGGUAGUAACAAGAAAUAACAAUACAAGGCAGUUAAAAUGCUUUGUAAUUGGAAUGAUAGAAAUUUAAACCCUUUUUAAAGUAUCAAUUGGAGGGCAAGUCUGGUGCCAGCAGCCGCGGUAAUUCCAGCUCCAAUAGCGUAUAUUAAAAUUGUUGCAGUUAAAAAGCUCGUAGUUGAAGUUCUGCUGAAAGUAACCGGUCUGCUUUUAAUAAAAGUGGUAUCUUGGUAUGUAUUUAGCAAUGAUGUCCUUUGAAGUGUUUUUUACUUUAUUGUAAUAAAGCAUAUUCAGGACUUUUACUUUGAGAAAAUUAGAGUGUUUCUAGCAGGCUAACGCUUUGAAUACUGCAGCAUGGAAUAAUAAUAU
rnacentral:rRNA from 1 species